AGUUUCGAGCGGCUUUCAACAACGAUAUCAACCGAUUUUCAGUAAAUUGCGAGUUGAUAUGUUGUUUGAAUGCCCCUUGAGUUG
rnacentral:pre_miRNA from 1 species